rnacentral:ncRNA from 1 species
UAAUACUAAAGGCAAAAUUAAAGAAAUUUAAUGACGCAAAACUAAAGGAGCUAAGGUGAAAACUAUGCUAGCCAGUUACUAAU